rnacentral:rRNA from 1 species
GACGAACGCUGGCGGCGUGCUUAACACAUGCAAGUCGAACGGAAAGGCCCUGCUUUUGUGGGUUGCUCGAGUGGCGAACGGGUGAGUAACACGUGAGUAACCUGCCCUUGACUUUGGGAUAACUUCAGGAAACUGGGGCUAAUACCGGAUAGGAGCUCCUGCUGCAUGGUGUGGGUUGGAAAGUUUCGGCGGUUGGGGAUGGACUCGCGGCUUAUCAGCUUGUUGGUGGGGUAGUUGCUUACCAAGGCUUUGACGGGUAGCCGGCCUGAGAGGGUGACCGGCCACAUUGGGACUGAGAGACGGACCAGAAUCGUACGGGAGGCAGCAGUGGGGAAUAUUGCACAAUGGGCGGAAGCCUGAUGCAGAAACGCCGCGUGCGGGAUGACGGCCUUCGGGUUGUAAACCGAUUUCGCAGGUGACGAAGAGUGAGUGACGGUAAUGGGUAAAGAAGCACCGGCUAACUACGUG